GGGUUGUGAGGUUAAGCGACUAAGCGUACACGGUGGAUGCCCUGGCAGUCAGAGGCGAUGAAGGACGUGCUAAUCUGCGAUAAGCGUCGGUAAGGUGAUAUGAACCGUUAUAACCGGCGAUUUCCGAAUGGGGAAACCCAGUGUGAUUCGUCACACUAUCGUUAACUGAAUACAUAGGUUAACGAAGCGAACCGGGGGAACUGAAACAUCUAAGUACCCCGAGGAAAAGAAAUCAACCGAGAUUCCCCCAGUAGCGGCGAGCGAACGGGGAGGAGCCCAGAGCCUGAAUCAGCAUGUGUGUUAGUGGAAGCGU
rnacentral:rRNA from 2 species